rnacentral:rRNA from 1 species
GCGAGUGAAGAGGGAAGAGCCCAAGAUUGAAAGCUGGCGUCUUCGGCGUCCGCAUUGUAAUCUCAAGAAGUGUUUUCCGCUUCGGACCAUGCCUAAGUCCCUUGGAAAAGGGCAUCAUAGAGGGUGAUAAUCCCGUACAUGGCAUGGAGCGCCCGUAGCUUUGUGAUACGCUUUCUAAGAGUCGAGUUGUUUGGGAAUGCAGCUCAAAAUGGGUGGUAAAUGCCAUCUAAGGCUAAAUAUUGGGGAGAGACCGAUAGCGAACAAGUACAGUGAUGGAAAGAUGAAAAGAACUUUGAAAAGAGAGUUAAACAGUACGUGAAAUUGCCAAAAGGGAAGGGUAGGAGGUCAGAGAUGCGUCUUGGGAUUCAGCCUUGCUUUUGCCUGGUGUUUUUCCCAAGCUGCAGGCCAACGUCGGUUUUGGGCACUGGAGAAGGGUAGGAGGAACGUGGCACCUCUCGGGGUGUGUUAUAGCCUCCUACUGGAUACAGCGACCGAGACCGAGGAACGCAGCGUACUCGUAAGAGCGGGCCUUUUGGCACCUUUACGCUUAGGGCGUUGGCAUAAUGGCCCUCUACCACCC